AGAAUCAACGCUGGCGGCGUGCCUAACACAUGCAAGUCGAACGAGAAAGUGGAGCAAUCCAUGAGUACAGUGGCGUACGGGUGAGUAACACGUGACUAACCUACCCUCGAGUGGGGAAUAACCUCGGGAAACCGGGCUAAUACCGCAUAAUAUCUUCGGAUCAAAUGCGUAAGCAGCUUGAGGAGGGGGUCGCGGCCGAUUAGCUAGUUGGCGGGGUAAUGGCCCACCAAGGCAAUGAUCGGUAGCCGGCCUGAGAGGGCGCACGGCCACACUGGAACUGAAACACGGUCCAGACUCCUACGGGAGGCAGCAGUGGGGAAUUUUGCGCAAUGGGGGAAACCCUGACGCAGCAACGCCGCGUGGAGGAUGAAGCCCCUUGGGGUGUAAACUCCUUUCGAUCGGGACGAUUAUGACGGUACCGGAUGAAGAAGCACCGGCUAACUCUGCGCCAGCAGCCGC
rnacentral:rRNA from 1 species